UUUAUUUGUAUUUUGCACUGUUUAUAUUUAAUGUUUGAUCAUCUGUCUUAUCUAAAAAAAUUAUAAUUAGUAUUUUUGUCGUUAUUAGAUGAUAAAAUAUAAAUAAUACUUUAUGUGACUAUUUUUAUUUUUUAAUAAUUUUUUAAAUAAAAUGAACGGUUAAACGUUAGACACGAAAAUUCGCAAUACAGUUAUA
rnacentral:pre_miRNA from 1 species